AGUGAACGCUGGCGGUAGGCCUAACACAUGCAAGUCGAACGGCAGCACAGUAAGAUCUUGCUCUUACGGGUGGCGAGUGGCGGACGGGUGAGGAAUACAUCGGAAUCUACUUUUUCGUGGGGGAUAACGUAGGGAAACUUACGCUAAUACCGCAUACGACCUACGGGUGAAAGCAGGGGAUCUUCGGACCUUGCUCGAUUGAAUGAGCCGAUGUCGGAUUAGCUAGUUGGCGGGGUAAAGGCCCACCAAGGCGACGAUCCGUAGCUGGUCUGAGAGGAUGAUCAGCCACACUGGAACUGAGACACGGUCCAGACUCCUACGGGAGGCAGCAGUGGGGAAUAUUGGACAAUGGGCGCAAGCCUGAUCCAGCCAUACCGCGUGGGUGAAGAAGGCCUUCGGGUUGUAAAGCCCUUUUGUUGGGAAAGAAAAGCAGCAGGUUAAUACCCCGCUGUUCUGACGGUACCCAAAGAAUAAGCACCGGCUAACUUCGUG
rnacentral:rRNA from 1 species